CACAGUGGAGGUUGUUUGUUUCCAGAAUUCUCUCUCUCUUACAUGGUCUCCCUGACGAUGAUUCCACAGCUAUCUUAGACAAACCAGCUAGAGCAGAUUUAAAAAUGUGGCAUCUAUUUCUGUCCUCUUGGAAUGGCAGUUCACUAUUCGUUCCCCCCAUUUCUGACAAUUCCUCGGCAGAUUGGACUGACACAUCAGGUGCCAUAGGUUAUGCAGCAAUAUUUGGUAAUGACUGGGUGUACGACUCUUGGCCACUAGAGACUACCUCACUAGAGAAUUUCAACACCACCUCAGCACUAUUUGAAAUCUUUCCGAUCUUAGCUGCUGCACACAUAUGGGGUAAAGAAUGGAGAGGUCAAUCAGUCAGGUGUUUUUCCAAUAACUUGGCGGCAUGUAACAUCAUAAACAAAG